rnacentral:tRNA from 1 species
GCAGACGUGAUGAAAUUGGCAAACAUAUUUACUUUAGGCGUAAAGUUCUGAAGGUUCAAGUCCUUCCGUCUGUA